rnacentral:rRNA from 1 species
CACGUGGGUAACCUGCCUGUAAGACUGGGAUAACUCCGGGAAACCGGAGCUAAUACCGGAUAGUUCCUUGAACCGCAUGGUUCAAGGAUGAAAGACGGUUUCGGCUGUCACUUACAGAUGGACCCGCGGCGCAUUAGCUAGUUGGUGGGGUAAUGGCUCACCAAGGCGACGAUGCGUAGCCGACCUGAGAGGGUGAUCGGCCACACUGGGACUGAGACACGGCCCAGACUCCUACGGGAGGCAGCAGUAGGGAAUCUUCCGCAAUGGACGAAAGUCUGACGGAGCAACGCCGCGUGAGUGAUGAAGGUUUUCGGAUCGUAAAGCUCUGUUGUUAGGGAAGAACAAGUGCGA